UUAAAUAAUUUAUUAUCCUAUAUGUGAGCAGUGUUAUUUCUUAUGUGCUAUACAAAUGACUGAAGGUUAAUUAGCAGUAUAACUAAAUAGUAAUGCUGCCAGUCUCCUUCAGACAAAU